ACUCAGCACAGCCAAAAAUAAAUAGAUAAAGUAUUUAAAAAUAAAAUAACAAGACGUGUGAGAAGGAACUAGAGCAGAUUUCAGCAGGUAGUGGUGGAAGAGUUGGGGACUGGUGUUUUCCAAAAACAAAAUGGAUUAGACUUGUUUAUUCUGGCAAUGCAAGGGAAGGAGAGAGUAUUGUGAUGCUUUUCCUGUGAAGAAAUGGGUAACAGGUUUUUACCACAUCUUCCUAUGUCAGUAUCUAAGGGGUUUAUAUAAAUACUUAGAAGGAUGCUGUGAAGAAACAGAACAACAGAAUAUGGGAGGAGUCCUUGGAAAUUUUUAAAGAAUAAAGUAAAUGGGAAGUCUUAUUUCCUAGAUCACAUGCCCUGGAAAGAAUUCCAUUGUCUGGAUGUACUGCAGUUUAUCCAGUUACCUACUGAACAACAUUUUGGCUGCUUCCAGGUUUUGGCAAUUAUGAAUAAAGCUGCUAAACAGUUAUGUGCAAGUUGUUAUGCAGGUAAGACUCCAGCUUUCAUGACCUGCCCUGAGUUCCAAAGGGUGGAUUCCAACAGUUGUUAAUCAAGGGAGAAGCAGCCAAGAAACCACUUGAGACAAGAUUAAAGGGACCAGAGAAGCUCAUGAAGAUUGAGAUCCAGACCACCCGAGAUUAAGGGACUACAAGCCCUGCUCACACCCUAAUCUUAUCAGAGACCCCACCUUUGAACCACUGUUAUAAAACCCUUCAUCAAUUCCUCUGGGGUAGAGAUACACAGUUUUUGGAGACAGAAGCCCAGUGUGUC